UGCUCAGAGUUAAAUUGCAAGUGUGAAAACUACUACUGUUUGCAUUAACCAAAUGCUCUGUACUCUCUGUACUGUCAUCAAAAGGAGGGCAGGGAUAAAUAACUUUUAUUUAACUCACUAAAAAAAAUCUCUCUCAGCUCUUUCAUAUUUAAUUAACUUCUUACCUUCCCAGAGCUCAAGUCUUAUGCAGAGUUCCUGAGCAGUAAUGGAAAUAUUUGUUCAUUUUGUCCAGAAGAUUUUUCUCACAUUAGCUGAGUGGAGAAGUAAGAACAUUGGGUAAAAAGACACCCAUUGAAAGCUUUGUGUGUUAGCAGGGGCUGAUGGCAGAAAGCGGCGGAAGUGGUCAUGUGUGCUUCGCGACCACAUACCUCCAAGAGUGGGAAGAUGGCUUUGCAAACCCUUUUGUGGCUUCCACCAGAAAAGUGUAUGAACAAAAUUUAGUGCAAUUGUCGGUUCCACCACCCUGUGCACCGCCUAUGCUGAAUGGACCCAGAAAGCCGGACGGAUCUAAGGACAAGGAUGACAGUGAAGAGCUUAUUAUCCCUUUGAAAGGAGAUCUCAGACUCUCAAUAGAAAAAAGCAAGGAUUCCAAAAAAAACCCAGUCUUUGAAAUUCAAGAGAAGCAGGAAGACAUGCUGAAACCAAAGUCUGGUUGUAAUAAUUUCAAGAUGCUAAGAAAGGGAUCAAACUCAGGACCUUGCACUUGCGAGGAAGCUGCUCAUGUUUCCACAGAUGUUCUGCCAGAGCACAGAACACCAGGAUCAAAAGUAGGACUGUUCCCCAAGAGAAGGAGCCCUGUAUGGGGGGCCCGAGUGGUGUCGGGGGCCUGUUCCCACUGUGCCUGCAGCUUGCCGUCCUCGGCAUCCUCAUCAUCGUGGUGUUCGUCUACAUCACCAUGGAGAAGAAGCCACUCUUCGGUUAGGCGCCUGAGGAGCAAAGCAAUGCACCACACCUCAGGUCACCCCGCCAAGCCCUUCUGCUCUGGGGAGGAACCCAGAGUUAGCUGAAGGGGCUGUGGCUCUUGGAACCAGUCCCCUGGUCCUGUGCUGGGUGGAUGCAGCCAGGCCUGGGCACAGCCAGGUGAGAGAGAAGCAGGCUGCUGUGUCAAGACAGUGAUGGUCAGCAAAUCCCCUGAGCAAUGUAAGUCAUUGCUAAAGGUACUUCCACGUAAAGCAGACUUCCAAACAAGAAACUGUCUGAUGUGUUCCUCUUCUUUUCUCUUUCUCUCUCUCUCCCUUUCACUCUUUUUUUUUCUUUCCA
rnacentral:lncRNA from 1 species